rnacentral:miRNA from 1 species
CCGCUUGGCAGGAUAGCUUUCUGUCGUGUCAGUACUGACACGACAGAAAGCUAUCCUGCCAAGCG